GAUGAACGCUGGCGGCGUGCCUAAUACAUGCAAGUCGAGCGAACGGACGAGAAGCUUGCUUCUCUGAUGUUAGCGGCGGACGGGUGAGUAACACGUGGAUAACCUACCUAUAAGACUGGGAUAACUUCGGGAAACCGGAGCUAAUACCGGAUAAUAUUUUGAACCGCAUGGUUCAAAAGUGAAAGACGGUCUUGCUGUCACUUAUAGAUGGAUCCGCGCUGCAUUAGCUAGUUGGUAAGGUAACGGCUUACCAAGGCAACGAUGCAUAGCCGACCUGAGAGGGUGAUCGGCCACACUGGAACUGAGACACGGUCCAGACUCCUACGGGAGGCAGCAGUAGGGAAUCUUCCGCAGUGGGCGAAAGCCUGACGGAGCAACGCCGCGUGAGUGAUGAAGGUCUUCGGAUCGUAAAACUCUGUUAUUAGGGAAGAACAUAUGUGUAAGUAACUGUGCACAUCUUGACGGUACCUAAUCAGAAAGCCACGGCUAACUACGUG
rnacentral:rRNA from 1 species